rnacentral:rRNA from 1 species
AUGUCGUCCGUCGAGAUCCCUCUCCACGGCGCACGGUCCGCGAGGUCCGCGAACGGCUCUUUCACCUUCGUGGAUCCCGUCCAGCCGGCGCAGAUGCGCGACCUCGGCGGGAAGAAGAGAGAUCGCUGCGGGGAUCUCCUUCUCGCCGACGACUCCGAGGCUGCAGGUUGGUCGUCGGCGAUACUGGACCGCAGCCUCGCCCUGCGCCGUCGGCGAGGCCCAUCUCCCUCUUCCUUCCACCGCGGCUGCCUCGUCGUGACUGAGGCGCAGAAUAGCCGUGACCAGGAGACAGCUCCGGAAGUUGUCGCAGAGGAGCGGCAAGGGAGUGAAAAGGAGCCGACUGUCGAGGAGCUGGUCUACUGGACAGUCAUCUAG